rnacentral:rRNA from 1 species
UCCGUAGGUGAACCUGCGGAAGGAUCAUUUAUGAGUUUGAACAGGACUUGAUGCUGGCUAUAUGCAUGUGCUCAGUUCUACUCAAUCCAUUAUACACCUGUGCACUUUCAAAGUUGUAGUCCUCCGUCAUGGGAGCCGUACCUUGUCAUGAGGUACUAGGACUAUAUGCUUUGCCCUUUAUUACAAACUUUAUUAUUGUCUUGUAGAAUGUUAAUAGCCUAAGGGCUUAACUUAAUACAACUUUCAACAACGGAUCUCUUGGCUCUCGCAUCGAUGAAGAACGCAGCGAAAUGCGAUAAGUAAUGUGAAUUGCAGAAUUCAGUGAAUCAUCGAAUCUUUGAACGCACCUUGCACUCUUUGGUAUUCCGAAGAGUAUGCCUGUUUGAGGGUCAGUUAAAUAAAAAUCGGUGUUGUUGCUGCCUUUCGUGGUAACGCUUCGGAUUUGGGUCGUCUUACCUUCGGUUAAGUGACCUAAAAUUUAGCAUGAUUUUUCGAACGUAUUUAAAUUAUUUAUGUACGGUUUGUGGAUAUCGGAAUAUAUUAGGAUGGUGGGGGUCAUUGGUCAUGGAUUUGCGGUCUAUAAUUUUUGGUAAAAUGGGACCUCAAAUCAGGUAAGAGUACCCGCUGAACUUAA